CAGAAUGGGCCUCUGGAACUUUCAGAUGAUAGUGAUUUUGAAAGCCCAGUUUUACAACGUAGGAGAGUGAGUCAGCAUGAGGGUCCUUCAACAAGCCAGAGGGAACAACAUGAGAGAGAGGAUGAUGGUGAAAUCAGUCUUCCAGCUCAUGAUGAAAUGGACUUUCAAGAACAACAAAGGCCAAAUGAAGCUCGUGUUCACUUUGCAGAUUUCAUCCCAAUUGAUGUUGAAGAAGAUGAAGCCAUUGAGGAAGCCAUCAGACAAAGUCUUUUAGAUGAAACUGUACAGUCCUCACA